rnacentral:rRNA from 1 species
CGCUGGCGGCAGGCCUAACACAUGCAAGUCGAACGUGUAGCACAGAAGAGCUUGCUCUUCGGGUGACGAGUGGCGGACGGGUGAGUAAUGUCUGGGAAACUGCCUGAUGGAGGGGGAUAACUACUGGAAACGGUAGCUAAUACCGCAUAACGUCGCAAGACCAAAGAGGGGGACCUUCGGGCCUCUUGCCAUCAGAUGUGCCCAGAUGGGAUUAGCUAGUAGGUGGGGUAAUGGCUCACCUAGGCGACGAUCCCUAGCUGGUCUGAGAGGAUGACCAGCCACACUGGAACUGAGACACGGUCCAGACUCCUACGGGAGGCAGCAGUGGGGAAUAUUGCACAAUGGGCGCAAGCCUGAUGCAGCCAUGCCGCGUGUAUGAAGAAGGCCUUCGGGUUGUAAAGUACUUUCAGCGAGGAGGAAGGCAUUAAGGUUAAUAACCUUGGUGAUUGACGUUACUCGCAGAAGAAGCACCGGCUAACUCCGUGCCAGCAGCCGCGGUAAUACGGAGGGUGCAAGCGUUAAUCGGAAUUACUGGGCGUAAAGCGCACGCAGGCGGUCUGUCAAGUCGGAUGUGAAAUCCCCGGGCUCAACCUGGGAACUGCAUUCGAAACUGGCAGGCUAGAGUCUUGUAGAGGGGGGUAGAUUCCAGGUGUAGCGGUGAAAUGCGUAGA